GCGGUUAGUUGUCCUGUCGCUGGUGGCUUAGGCUGCUGGAGGAAAGUCCGGGCAACAUAGAGCAGUACGCUUCCUAACGGGAAGGAAUAGCCAAAGGAAUUUGUCUAUUACGGAAAGUGCCGCAGAAAGGGAAACUACCUCUAUUCGGAGGAAAAGAUGAAAAGGUGAGGUAAGAGCUCACCAGUGCGUGUGGAGACACCGUAGCUUGGUAAACCCCGUACGUUGCAAAACCAAAUAAGCCAGCGCUUUAAGAGCGGCUCGUUCAAUGCUGGUGGGUAGGUUGCUAGAGCUUGUUGGCAACAGCAAGCCCAGAUAAAUGGCAGGGCUAGACAGAACCCGGCUUAUAGACUAACCAAUAUG
rnacentral:RNase_P_RNA from 1 species